GUAGGUGGCAAGCGUUGUCCGGAAUUAUUGGGCGUAAAGCGCGCGCAGGCGGUUCUUUAAGUCUGAUGUGAAAGCCCACGGCUCAACCGUGGAGGGUCAUUGGAAACUGGAGAACUUGAGUACAGAAGAGGAAAGCGGAAUUCCACGUGUAGCGGUGAAAUGCGUAGAGAUGUGGAGGAACACCAGUGGCGAAGGCGGCUUUCUGGUCUGUAACUGACGCUGAGGCGCGAAAGCGUGGGGAGCAAACAGGGAUUAGAUACCCUGGUAGUCCACGCCGUAAACGAUGAGUGCUAAGUGUUAGGGGGUUUCCGCCCCCUUAGUGCUGCAGCUAACGCAUUAAGCAUUCCGCCUGGGGAGUACGGCCGCAAGGCUG
rnacentral:rRNA from 1 species